rnacentral:rRNA from 1 species
AGCGGCAGCGGAGGUACUUUGCUACUUUGCCGGCGAGCGGCGGAGGGGUGAGUAGUGUCUGGGAAACUGCCUGAUGGAGGGGGAUAACUACUGGAAACGGUAUCUAAUACCGCAUAGUGUCGCAAGACCAAAGAGGGGGACCUUCGGGCCUCUUGCCCUCAUAUGUGCCCAGAUGGGAUUAUCUAGUAGGGGGGGUAACGGCUCACCUACGAGACUAUCCCUAUGUGGUCUGAGAGGAUGACCCCCCACUCUGGAACUGACACACGGCCCACACUCCUACGGGAGGCAGCAGUGGGGAAUAUUGCACAGUGGGCGCAAGCCUGAUGCACCCGUGCCGCGUGUAUGAAAAAGGUCUUCGGGUUGUAAAGUACUUUCAGCGGGGAGGAAGGUGUUGAGGUUAAUAACCUCAGCAAUUGACGUUACCCGCAGAAGAA